rnacentral:tRNA from 1 species
GGGCGGUUAGCUCAGUUGGAUAGAGCGUAGGUCUCCGGAACCUAAGGCCGGGAGUUCGAUUCUCCCACCGCCCG